AAAUACCACACACCUAUCAUGAUGUAAAACAUGCUGAAAAAUAGAUUUUCCCAAUUUUUCUAAAAAUUCUCCAUGUUCUUUUUCUGACCAUAUCAUUGACUUCCUUCGACCUACAAAACGCGUUAACCUUCCCAAAAAGAAAAAAAAAAUACAAGAAAUGAUUAAAAAAUAGAUAAAUACGAAAUUAAAGAAACUGACAUAUAAACCACUUAAACUAUAUAAAAAAA
rnacentral:lncRNA from 1 species